rnacentral:rRNA from 1 species
GACGAACGCUGGCGGCGUGCUUAACACAUGCAAGCCGAACGGAAAGGCCCUGCUUUUGUGGGGUGCUCGAGUGGCGAACGGGUGAGUAACACGUGAGUAACCUGCCCUUGACUUUGGGAUAACUUCAGGAAACUGGGGCUAAUACCGGAUAGGAGCUCCUGCUGCAUGGUGGGGGUUGGAAAGUUUCGGCGGUUGGGGAUGGACUCGCGGCUUAUCAGCUUGUUGGUGGGGUAGUGGCUUACCAAGGCUUUGACGGGUAGCCGGCCUGAGAGGGUGACCGGCCAAAUUGGGACUGGGAUACGGCCCAGACUCCUAGGGGGGGCAGCAGGGGGGAAUAUUGCACAAUGGGGGGAAGCCUGAUGCAGCAACGCCGGGUGGGGGAAGACGGCCUUCGGGUUGGAAACCGCUUUCCCCUGGGACGAAGCGUGAGGGACGGUAAUGGGUAAAGAAGCACCGGCUAACUACGU